UAUGCAAUGCUCUAUAUGCCAUACACUACUCGGAUCCGUGGAGAGAAUUCAGAGAGGGGAAGAUCGCGCAUCAGUCCGGCCGAUUCUCGGCAGGUCAGUUAAGACCCGCCGGUCCUCCGCCGAGCCGCGUCCCCGCCUCAGCCGAUCCCUACCCGGACUGAGUCUUGUGUAGGAUGCACAUGACCCGGAUUCUACUCAGCCCUCUAGUCGGUCCUUUCAAGGAUCCGACUUCUAACUCACAUCCUAGAACCCUUAGACUCAAAGUCUAGGAUCCCUUACCUUCCUUCUCGAGGUUAGGUCGAUCCGACCCUCCUUCUUUAUUGCCGGCCACAGCCCGGCUACCGAAUCCUAAGACUAUUUAUUCUCCCAAGAGGGAGAGAGUUUUAAUGGUGAGUUUCUUGUGUUUUCGGUGUGUUGUGGUGGGUGGAAUGGUCCUGGGCGCCCUUCCUUAUAUAGGGGGCGAAUGGAUGCUUCCCGAAUCAACACAUCCGUUCCUUGCACCUUUCCGAAGAGUUGCACCUUUCCGAAGAGUUGCGCCCUUCCGAAGAGUUGCACCUUUCCGAAGAGUUGUAUCUCUUCGCCCAUAACCGCCCAGUUCGUCCGUCACUCGUCCAGCUACCUCGAGCUCGUCCGUCACUUGUCCAGCUACCUCGAGCUCAUCCGUCACUCGUCCAGCUGCCCGAGCUGGACUGUCACUCGACCUGAGUAACUGUCACUCCUUCCAGCUGAGCUUGAGCUUUGGGCGAGCUGACCCAAGUGAUUUCCUUACGAUCCUAGCUUAGCCUGCAUGAUUUCCCCUUUGUCCGAGCUUAUAGCCAGCUCUUUCUCACUUGUCCGAGACUCCACCUUCUUCUCCCGGACCAAGUCCUAGCCAACGAUCCUAUUGAGGAUCGCGGGCGUUACAGUUUUGCCCAAGAACAAUGAAGAAAACUAGGGUUUUUAGUAUUAAAUUUCGGAUCCUUAGAAUAGAGGACAAACCCCUCUAUUUAUACACUAUUAAGACGGUUAAAAGAGUUGUUAAACUUUUAUUUCUUCGAGGAUUGAAUCUUCUAAUUUCCUUUAUCUCCAAAGACUUCCUAUUUUCAAAGGAGAAAACUUCUUUUUCUUCGAAUUAGGAAGUCGGCUAGACGGUCUCCCUACUUCGGGCUAAAGUCGGCAAAUGACCUCCUUAUUUUGGCCCAUUAACAGGCUAAACCGGGAUACCCCGGUUUGAUUGAAAUCUCAGUCUAAUUCGUAGUUCCUCUGGUUUAAGCCGGUAUUGUCGGAGGUGCUAAUUCCGGCACCAACAAUUAGUCCCCCCCCCCAGUUCGGGAAAAUCCAAAUGCUAAACUCGAGUUUUUCCGAAUUAAAAGAAGUGAAUAUUCGGCUUAUACUUUAGGAAGAUGCGAAUUAAAAAUUGAUCCGUUGAACCUCCAAGAUACGUCAGUUUAGCUUGGCACGCGUCGACGAUAUAAAACAAGGCUAAGCUUGUGGGUUAGGUAGUCUGAUGGACCUCAUGAGUUGUUGAGGAGCUGUGGGAUGCUCUCCUAGAUGAUCUGAAUGCCUAGCAGAGAAAUGACCUGACUGAUGAGCCGAGCAGUGAGAUAGGUUACCAAAUGAUCUUGCUAACAAGCUGCAAGGCAAGCUAUCAGAUGAUCUGACGAGCGAUCUGGGAUAUAGGUUGCUAGAUGGUUUGUCUUGCGAUCUGCGAGAUAGCCGGGCAGAUGAGCUAA
rnacentral:sRNA from 1 species